UACGUAGGGAGCAAGCGUUGUCCGGAUUUACUGGGUGUAAAGGGUGCGUAGGCGGAAGAAUAAGUCAGUGGUGAAAUCUUACGGCUCAACCGUGAAACUGCCAUUGAUACUGUUUUUCUUGAGUUCGGGAGAGGUUGAUGGAAUUCCAGGUGUAGCGGUGAAAUGCGUAGAUAUCUGGAAGAACACCAGUGGCGAAGGCGGUCAACUGGCCCGAAACUGACGCUGAGGCACGAAAGCGUGGGUAGCGAACAGG
rnacentral:rRNA from 1 species